GAUGAACGCUGGCGGCGUGCCUAAUACAUGCAAGUCGAGCGAACAGACGAGGAGCUUGCUCCUCUGACGUUAGCGGCGGACGGGUGAGUAACACGUGGAUAACCUACCUAUAAGACUGGGAUAACUUCGGGAAACCGGAGCUAAUACCGGAUAAUAUAUUGAACCGCAUGGUUCAAUAGUGAAAGACGGUUUUGCUGUCACUUAUAGAUGGAUCCGCGCCGCAUUAGCUAGUUGGUAAGGUAACGGCUUACCAAGGCGACGAUGCGUAGCCGACCUGAGAGGGUGAUCGGCCACACUGGAACGGAGACACGGUCCAGACUCCUACGGGAGGCAGCAGUAGGGAAUCUUCCGCAAUAGGCGAAAGCCUGACGGAGCAACGCCGCGUGAGUGAUGAAGGUCUUCGGAUCGUAAAACUCUGUUAUUAGGGAAGAACAAAUGUGUAAGUAACUAUGCACGUCUUGACGGUACCUAAUCAGAAAGCCACGGCUAACUACGUG
rnacentral:rRNA from 1 species